UACGGAGGAUGCAAGCGUUAUCCGGAAUGAUUGGGCGUAAAGCGUCCGCAGGUGGCUAUGUAAGUCUGCUGUUAAAGAGUCUAGCUCAACUAGAUAAGAGCAGUGGAAACUACAAGGCUAGAGUACGUUCGGGGCAGAGGGAAUUCCUGGUGUAGCGGUGAAAUGCGUAGAGAUCAGGAAGAACACCAGUGGCGAAGGCGCUCUGCUAGGCCGUAACUGACACUGAGGGACGAAAGCUAGGGGAGCGAACAGGAUUAGAAAGCCCUUGUA
rnacentral:rRNA from 1 species